rnacentral:lncRNA from 1 species
GUGUAAAUUUCCUCAUGUCAGGGCUGUGCCUUCAUCAGCUGAGAAGUUUAGCAUAUCCUCAGAAUGACCCUGUAUGGCAGAUGCACCAGAAUGUGUGUUCUCCCACCAGGCCCGGAGUCUUGCUAUUUGCUGCUAAAUUAAUAUAUUACCUAAUGCAGAAACCACGUUAAGAACUCCAGCUUUCGGCUCCAACAGGAGCUUCUGAUGGGUUAAAGGCAACAUCUUGCUUUAAUUCCCCCCUUUUUCCCAUCCUCCCCCCACUCCCCACCACCACCAACUACAAAUGUCAGAAAUAAAUUAUUGAAACCAGAUGUAAGGUUUUUGGGUGCACAUUUUC